rnacentral:rRNA from 2 species
GGCUCUUGGGUCGUAAACCUCUUUUCUCAGGGAAGAACACAAUGACGGUACCUGAGGAAUAAGCAUCGGCUAACUCCGUGCCAGCAGCCGCGGUAAUACGGAGGAUGCAAGCGUUAUCCGGAAUGAUUGGGCGUAAAGCGUCCGCAGGUGGCGAUGUAAGUCUGCUGUUAAAGAGUCUAGCUCAACUAGAUAAGAGCAGUGGAAACUACAUAGCUAGAGUACGUUCGGGGCAGAGGGAAUUCCUGGUGUAGCGGUGAAAUGCGUAGAGAUCAGGAAGAACACCAGUGGCGAAGGCGCUCUGCUAGGCCGUAACUGACACUGAGGGACGAAAGCUAGGGGAGCGAAUGGGAUUAGAUACCCCAGUAGUCCUAGCCGUAAACGAUGGAUACUAGGCGUGGCUUGUAUCGACCCGAGCCGUGCCGUAGCUAACGCGUUAAGUAUCCCGCCUGGGGAGUACGCCGGCAACGGUGAAACUCAAAGGAAUUGACGGGGGCCCGCACAAGCGGUGGAGUAUGUGGUUUAAUUCGAUGCAACGCGAAGAACCUUACCAAGGCUUGACAUGUCGCGAAUCUCGGUGAAAGCUGAGAGUGCCUUCGGGAGCGCGAACACAGGUGGUGCAUGGCUGUCGUCAGCUCGUGUCGUGAGAUGUUGGGUUAAGUCCCGCAACGAGCGCAACCCUCGUUUUUAGUUGCCAGCAUUAAGUUGGGCACUCUAGAGAGACUGCCGGUGACAAACCGGAGGAAGGUGGGGAUGACGUCAAGUCAGCAUGCCCCUUACGCCUUGGGCUACACACGUACUACAAUGCUCCGGACAGAGGGCAGCAAGCAUGCGAAUGCAAGCAAAUCCCGUAAACCGGAGCUCAGUUCAGAUCGCAGGCUGCAACUCGCCUGCGUGAAGGAGGAAUCGCUAGUAAU